rnacentral:rRNA from 1 species
CGACCGGCGCACGGGUGAGUAACGCGUAUCCAACCUGCCCACCACUUGGGAUAACCUUGCGAAAGUAAGACUAAUACCCAAUGAUAUCUCUAGAAGACAUCUGAAAGAGAUUAAAGAUUUAUCGGUGAUGGAUGGGGAUGCGUCUGAUUAGCUUGUUGGCGGGGUAACGGCCCACCAAGGCAACGAUCAGUAGGGGUUCUGAGAGGAAGGUCCCCCACAUUGGAACUGAGACACGGUCCAA